GUCCGUGAACGCACCGUUUGUUUAGCUGCUACAGUAAGACGUGUUUUAUGCCACUCCUUUUUUGUCUCAUUUUGUCCACCAAACGUUUCAUCCUGUGCGCGAAUGCACAAAAGGAACUCGCAUGGCUGCCGUUUUUGUGACCCCAGAUGCAGGAACCAGGAGAGCGACUAGGAGGUUUGGUAAUGGACAACUAUUUUUGGACAAAAGAGGAUUUACAACCUUAUCUUUUUGAAGCUGAAUAUACUGAAGAUGAACUACUGCUUCUAGAAGCGAGCAGACUGAAGCCGAGAGAGUGAGGUCGGCGUGGCACGAAGCUGCAAAUAUGGAAAUUUGGAGCCAAGCUAUUUCGACAUAAGUGGAGUGCUUACCCAAAUAAUCAGGUAAAAACGUCUCCGGUCAGCUGGACCAAACGCACAACCAUCGAGUGAGUCACUUUAAUACUGUUCAUGAUACACUCAGCACGUCAUGUGUGUUAUUACAACUUUGUCUGGCUAGCUGUGUACAAACAAAACUGGAAAUGUGGGAUAAUCAUUUACAGAUACUGUAAUAUGGUUGUUCAUGU